CUCAGAUGGGAGAUGGUUGCAGCAUUUUCACACCGUGCCUCAUUCGCUACAAGAAACCACGUGACUAACAAAAGAAAAAUCCUCAGCAUUUAUCACCACGUGGGAAAAUAACCUAUCAAAUUAAUCACAGUAGCAAAAGAGUGUUUAAUCUAAAAUCUGUAGAUCAUGCGAAGAAUGUCGAGAAGAAAAACGCAUAUAUAGUGGAAAAUCUCAUCACCACGUGGGAAAAUAACCUGUCAAAUUAAUUGCAACUACAAAUGAAUGUUCAAUCGACAUUCUGAAGAAUAGGAAGAAUGUGGAGAAGAAAAGAGCCAGGGAACUUUAGAGCUAGUUUUCAAAAGGAGUGAUCUAGUGGAGAAUUUAAUAGCCACGUGGGAAAAUAACCUGUCAAAUCAAUUGCAACUACUGAGGACGUUACGCAUCUAUCAUCAAGUGUUGAUAUAUUUCACAGUCGUUAAUGAGAUGUCGAAGGAGAAACAAACAAUCAGCAAGGCGUCAACAUGCAAUGUGAAAAGAUACUUGGUCACCUAUUAUUAUGAGCUUUGUCGCAUCACAAUUUCACUAAAAAUGAAAACGUAUUUUAUUUAGCAGUCUUUAAUAAGAAGUCGACAGAGUAAGGACUCAAUAAAAUACCGAAGCAUGACUCGAAAUUGACCGGAAAUCUUCAAAAGCUGAGUUCACCAAAGAUAUGCAAGAGUUUCCAAUCUACGACACAUUUUUGAAGAAAGGAAUUCGUAUUGAAUACUCUGGUCAUUCUUCAUAAUGAAGACAUAUUUCUUUGAGUCAUCAAAGAGAAGUCGACAACGAAACAAGAGUCAAAAGGAGAUACCAUCGCGUGAUUGAAAAAUGUUUUAAAAUCUUCGAUAUCUCAUGAAGUAUUUAGCUUUUAUUGUAUUAGGAAAAAUUAUUACUUAGCUAGGGAUUUUGAAACUAAAAAAAUGUAAUUGUAUUAGCUAGGAAAUGAUCGAAGUAUGUGUAAGUAGUUUUAAGCAGAAAACAUUGUUUUUUCUUCAAGAGAAUUCAACAUCCGGCGUCAACUUUAUCUCAACAUUAAGGGGAUAAUAAGAUUAAAAACUAGGAGGAGGAGAAAACUGAAAAUCGAUUCAUCACCUAACUGGAGGAUUUUUAACCACUAAUGACGAUUUUCUCUUUUUUGUACUAAAAAUUUAUGACUUAGAACCAAAUAUGCU